AGGGAGUGUUAGUUGUCUAUGCAAGCAGGUAUAAAUGGGCUGUUUACAGUCCAAAACUGCCAAUAUUAAGUCCACCAUCGAACAACCUCCUAAAGAAAUAGAUCUUGCGAAUGGGAAUCAAGAUAAAGUGCCAGCUUUCAAGGAAUUUGGUCUUGCGGAUCUCCGAGCUGCAACGAAUGGGUUUAGCAGUGAAUUGAUAGUUUCUGAAAGUGGUGAGAAAGCACCCAAUAUAGUCUACAGAGGGAAGCUUCGGAGCAAUCGGCUUGUUGCCAUUAAGCGCUUCUCAAAGCAGUCAUGGCCUCAUCCUCAUCAGUUUGUGGCAGAGGCUGCUGGAGUGGGCAAGGUCAGACAUAAGAGAUUGGUCAAUCUAAUUGGUUGCUGUGCUGAGGGAGAUGAAAGACUUUUGGUGGCAGAGUACAUGCCUAAUGAUACACUCUCAAAGCAUCUCUUUCACUGGGAAAAACAGCCCUUGCCUUGGGAGAUGCGAGUCAGAGUUGCAUACCAUAUUGCACAGGUUCUGGAUCAUUGCAAUGCUGAGAACAGAAAAAUAUAUCAUGAUUUGAAUGCUUACAGAGUUCUUUUUGAUGAGGAUGGUGACCCUCGAUUAUCUAGCUUUGGCCUUAUGAAAAACAGUAGAGAUGGAAAGAGUUAUAGCACUAAUCUGGCCUAUACACCUCCUGAGUUUAUGCGUACAGGCAGGGUCAUUGCGGAGAGUGUAAUAUACAGCUAUGGGACUGUUCUGCUGGACCUUUUGAGUGGAAAACAUAUUCCUCCAAGCCAUGCAUUAGAUUUGAUAAGGGGAAAGAAUAUGUUGUUACUAAUGGAUUCAUCCUUGGAAGGACAAUAUGCCGAUGAAGAUGCUACUGCAUUGGUUGAGCUUGCUUCGAAGUGCCUCCAGUAUGAGGCUAAGGAUCGGCCUGAUUUCAAGUUCAUUCUUAAUGCUGUAGUACCUCUCCAGAAGCAAGGGGAGGUUGUAUCAUAUGUUUUAAUGGGUCUAACAAAAGCUCCAGUGGUGCUUCCAACCAUGCUUUCUCCUCUUGGAAAGGCUUGUGCAGGAAUGGACCUUACCGCUGUUCAUGAUAUGUUGCUUAAGACAGGUUAUAAAGAUGAAGAGGGUGCCGAAAAUGAGCUCUCAUUCCAAGAGUGGACGCAGCAAGUUCAAGAUAUGUUAAACACCAAGAAAUUUGGUGAUAUUGCUUUCAGGGAUAAGGACUUUAAGAGUGCAAUUGACUGUUAUUCGAAGUUAGUAUCUAUGAUGCCUGUUCUUUCUGGGACUGUUUUUGUGAGGAGAGCCCUCUCGUAUUUGAUAAAUGGCCAGCCAGAACUUGCAUUGAGAGAUGCUAUGCAGGCUCAGGUCUGCUUGCCCGAGUGGCCUACUGCAUUCUAUAUGCAGGCUCUUGCCCUCUCCAAACUUGGAAUGGAAAUUGAUGCACAAGACAUGUUAAACGAUGGAGCGUCCUUUGAAGCAAAGAAGCAGAACAGUUGGCGCAACUGACUAUCACACAAAAAUAUAAUGCUGAAUCUCUGAUCCUUCUUUCAAAUUGGAGCCUUGAACCACAAUUUAUAUGGAGGAAGAGUGCAAUUCAUUAUGCUGUUCAGCUGUUCAAUUAUUGCCGAGGUGUGUACAUUUAAGGGUGCUGAUUGAAUAUUGCAUGUUGACCAUGAUUAUGCAGAUAGAGGUUCUGUUUUCUUGAAGUAUUUGAGAAUGCAGUUGAGUUACUCAUUCGCUCGUUCAUAACAUUGUUGUUCCCCUAACCGUUUAGUAGAACUUGCGUGUUGCUUUGCUAAGCAUCUUCCUCUGGCAUAGUCAGGCACAACACCAUCUAAUCCAGUAAUCCCGCAUUUUGUCGACUCCUUGGCUACAAAAUAUCAUCUGUUAAUAGCAUGGACCAUGAACCUCAUCUAGUAUAUUACGUACUAGUUAGCUCAUCCAAGUUAGGAUAAAUAAGCAUGGAAUCCUUUGUAUUUACCUCAAAUCAUAGUAUUAAAUUUUCUCUACUCCUACAAUAGAGCUGUUGUCUAGCGUACUUUGGAGGAA